AUUGAACGCUGGCGGCAGGCCUAACACAUGCAAGUCGAGCGGCAGCGGAAAGUAGCUUGCUACUUUGCCGGCGAGCGGCGGACGGGUGAGUAAUGUCUGGGAAACUGCCUGAUGGAGGGGGAUAACUACUGGAAACGGUAGCUAAUACCGCAUAACGUCGCAAGACCAAAGAGGGGGACCUUCGGGCCUCUUGCCAUCAGAUGUGCCCAGAUGGGAUUAGCUAGUAGGUGGGGUAACGGCUCACCUAGGCGACGAUCCCUAGCUUGUCUGAGGGGAUGACCAGCCACACUGGAACUGAGACACGGUCCAGACUCCUACGGGAGGCAGCAGUGGGGAAUAUUGCACAAUGGGCGCAAGCCUGACGCAGCCAUGCCGCGUGUAUGAAGAAGGCCUUCGGGUUGUAAAGUACUUUCAGCGGGGAGGAAGGUGUUGAGGUUAAUAACCUCAGCAAUUGACGUUACCCGCAGAAGAAGCACCGGCUAACUCCGUGCCAGCAGCCGCCGUAA
rnacentral:rRNA from 1 species